GGGGAAUUUUGCGCAAUGGGCUAACGCCUGACGCAGCAACGCCGCGUGAGGGAUGAAGGCCUUCGGGUUGUAAACCUCUUUUAGCAGGGAAGAAGCGAAAGUGACGGUACCUGCAGAAAAAGCACCGGCUAACUAC
rnacentral:rRNA from 1 species